rnacentral:lncRNA from 1 species
UUGAGCUAAAUGUCAUGGGUUCAUUGGUCAAUGUUGAAUUUUUGUGGUUUUGUCUAUUUUUCAAUGUUUCUCAGAUGUGAUAUAAAAAAAAGAAGAUGUGGUAUGAUUGCCAAUGAGACAACUAUCCACAAAAGACCAAAAUGACACAGACAUUAACAACUAUAGGUCACCGUACGGCCUUCAACAAUGAGCAAAGCCCAUACCGCAUAGUCAGCUAUAAAAGGCCCCGAUAAGACAAUGUAAAACAAUUCAAACGAGAAAACUAACGGCCUUAUUUAUGGGGGAAAAAAAUGAACGAAAAACAAAUAUGUAACACAUAAACAAACGACAACCACUGAAUAUACAGGUUCCUGACUUGGGACAGGCACAUACAUAAAUAAUGUGGCGGGGUUAAACAUGUUAGCGGGAUCCCAACCCUUCCCCUAACCUGGGACAGUGGUAUAACAGUAUAACAUAAGAACGAACUAUAAAAAAGUGAUAAGCUACAUCAUGUACAUUGUACAUGUAUAGGAUCACUAUUUUUUUUGGCAUAUGACAUGAAUGUUAGGUGUACAUGUUUGAUUGGCCGGCUUUAUCUAACAAUGAGCACAUUUUCAUGGUUUUCAUUAAUUUGAAUAAGGAGAUGUGGUAUGAAUUUUGAUGAGACAACCAUCAACCAUAGACCAUGUAGACCAAGUGAUGUGCUUGUUAGCUAUAUAAUAGGUUACUCCACACCCUUCAACAAUGAUCAAAACUAAUACUUCAUAAUGAGCACCCUAUAUAAAGGGUUCUGCCUUGCACGCAACACCGUCAAUGUAAAAAAAAACAGACGAGAAGCCCUACAGUGAUGAUAGUUUGAUUUAUAUACAAAAGCUACAUACAAACAAAUAUGAUAAACAGCAAGCAACAAAACACACUACAUACAUUGAAAAAUAAACCUGUGUCAGGGUGGUGCAACUUUCAUGUACAAUUCUAGCAUAAAAGAAAAAAUAUUAAAAAAAACUGAUAUACACAUGAUACAGUGUAUCCAAAAAAAAAAAAAUCAUAUGGAACCAAAAUACCAUAGAUGUAUAUAUGACUACCAACAUAAUAAUCAAUAUUUAAUAGAUCAGUGUUAAAAUAUGUUAACACAUGCAGAAGAAUAUCUCAAGAAUGUUUUGAAGGACUUUACGAAUGCCUACUCGAAUCCAAUCUAUUAGAAAAAUCAGUUAUUACAGAAGAGUGUCUACCAUGCACUUGCACUGCACUUUAUACUAGAAUUUCUUUUGACAACCCUGCAUACAUCCUUAUCCAUUUAAGGAUUCUCUACCUUCACG